rnacentral:rRNA from 1 species
AUUGAACGCUGGCGGCAGGCCUAACACAUGCCAGUCGAGCGGAUGAAGGGAGCUUGCUCCUGGAUUCAGCGGCGGACGGGUGAGUAAUGCCUAGGAAUCUGCCUGGUAGUGGGGGAUAACGUCCGGAAACGGGCGCUAAUACCGCAUACGUCCUGAGGGAGAAAGUGGGGGAUCUUCGGACCUCACGCUAUCAGAUGAGCCUAGGUCGGAUUAGCUAGUUGGUGGGGUAAAGGCCUACCAAGGCGACGAUCCGUAACUGGUCUGAGAGGAUGAUCAGUCACACUGGAACUUGGCCACGGUCCAGACUCCUACGGGAGGCAGCAGUGGGGAAUAUUGGACAAUGGGCGAAAGCCUGAUCCAGCCAUGCCGCGUGUGUGAAGAAGGUCUUCGGAUUGUAAAGCACUUUAAGUUGGGAGGAAGGGCAGUAAGUUAAUACCUUGCUGUUUUGACGUUACCAACAGAAUAAGCACCGGCUAACUUCGUG